rnacentral:rRNA from 1 species
UACGAGGGGGGCAAAUGUUGUUCGGAAUCACUGGGCGUAAAGGGAGCGUAGGCGGGUUUCUAAGUCAGGUGUUUAAUCCCGGGGCCCAACCCCGGACAGGCACUUGAAACUGGGAAUCUUGAAUAGUGGAGAGGUCAGUGGAAUUGGGGGUGUAGCGGUGGAAUGCGUAGAGAUCCCCAAGAACACCAGUUGCGAAGGCGGCUGACUGGACACAUAUUGACGCUGAGGUGCGAGAGCGUGGGGAGCGAACCGG